GACGAACGCGGCGGCGUGCCUAAUACAUGCAAGUAGAACGCUGAAGGAGGAGCUUGCUUCUCGGAUGAGUUGCGAACGGGUGAGUAACGCGUAGGUAACCUGCCUGGUAGCGGGGGAUAACUAUUGGAAACGAUAGCUAAUACCGCAUAAGAGUAGAUGUUGCAUGACAUUUGCUUAAAAGGUGCAAUUGCAUCACUACCAGAUGGACCUGCGUUGUAUUAGCUAGUUGGUGGGGUAACGGCUCACCAAGGCGACGAUACAUAGCCGACCUGAGAGGGUGAUCGGCCACACUGGGACUGAGACACGGCCCAGACUCCUACGGGAGGCAGCAGUAGGGAAUCUUCGGCAAUGGACGGAAGUCUGACCGAGCAACGCCGCGUGAGUGAAGAAGGUUUUCGGAUCGUAAAGCUCUGUUGUAAGAGAAGAACGAGUGUGAGAGUGGAAAGUUCACACUGUGACGGUAUCUUACCAGAAAGGGACGGCUAACUACGUGCCAGCAGCCGCGGUAAUACGUAGGUGGCAAGCGUUAUCCGGAUUUAUUGGGCGUAAAGAGAGUGCAGGCGGUUUUCUAAGUCUGAUGUGAAAGCCUUCGGCUUAACCGGAGAAGUGCAUCGGAAACUGGAUAACUUGAGUGCAGAAGAGGGUAGUGGAACUCCAUGUGUAGCGGUGGAAUGCGUAGAUAUAUGGAAGAACACCAGUGGCGAAGGCGGCUACCUGGUCUGCAACUGACGCUGAGACUCGAAAGCAUGGGUAGCGAACAGG
rnacentral:rRNA from 1 species